UCCAAUUGGAACGCUUUGGGAUGAGUCUGCGGCUCAUUAGCUUGUUGGUGGGGUAAAGGCCUACCAAGGCAACGAUGAGUAGCCGGCCUGAGAGGGUGAACGGCCACACUGGGACUGAGACACGGCCCAGACUCCUACGGGAGGCAGCAGCUAAGAAUCUUCCGCAAUGGACGCAAGUCUGACGGAGCGACGCCGCGUGAACGAUGAAGGCGGAAACGUUGUAAAGUUCUUUUCCUGAUGAAGAAUAAUGAGAGGAGUGGAAAGCCUUUCAGAUGACAUUAUUCAGGGAAUAAGCCCCGGCUAAUUACGUGCCAGCAGCCGCGGUAAUACGUAUGGGGCAAGCGUUGUUCGGAUUUAUUGGGCGUAAAGGGCGCGCAGGCGGUUUAACAGGCUUGAUGUGAAAUAUCCCGGCUUAACUGGGGACACGCGUUGGGAACUGUUAGACUAGAGCUUAGAAGGGGAAACUGGAAUUCCUAGUGUAGGGGUGAAAUCUGUAGAGAUUAGGAAGAACACCAAUGGCGAAGGCAAGUUUCUGGUCAUAGACUGACGCUGAGGCGCGAAAGCGUGGGGAGCGAACAGGAUUAGAUACCCUGGUAGUCCACGCUGUAAACGAUGUGCACUAGGUGUAGGAUAUUGAAUAUAUUCUGUGCCGUAGCUAACGCGUUAAGUGCACCGCCUGGGGAGUAUGCUCGCAAGGGUGAAACUCAAAGGAAUUGACGGGGGCCCGCACAAGCGGUGGAGCAUGUGGUUUAAUUCGAUGAUACGCGAGAAACCUUACCAGGGCUUGACAUUUACAUGACGGUUUAAGAGAUUAGGCCUUCCUUUCGGGGACAUGUAAACAGGUGCUGCAUGGUUGUCGUCAGCUCGUGUCGUGAGAUGUUGGGUUAAGUCCCGCAACGAGCGCAACCCUUAUUGUCUGUUGCCAGCAUUUCGGAUGGGGACUCAGACAAAACUGCCGGUGACAAACCGGAGGAAGGUGGGGAUGACGUCAAAUCAUCAUGGCCCUUAUGUCCUGGGCUACACACGUGCUACAAUGGCAAGUACGAAGCGUUGCGAAAAGGUGACUUCAAGCUAAUCGCAAAAAGCUUGCCUCAGUUCGGAUUGGAGUCUGAAACUCGACUCCAUGAAGUUGGAAUCGCUAGUAAUCGCGCAUCAGCAUGGCGCGGUGAAUAUGUUCCCGGGCCUUGUACACACCGCCCGCCACACCACCCGAGUUGGGGGUACCCGAAGUCGCUAGUCUAACUUUUAGAGGACAGUGCCGAAGGUAUGCCUGGUAAGGGGGGUGAAGUCGUAACAAGGUA
rnacentral:rRNA from 1 species